rnacentral:lncRNA from 1 species
AUGGGAUGUGAAGACUUGAAAAUGUCAUGUGUGGACAUCUUGGGGAGAAGUAUAACAGAAAAACAAGAUGUUUCUGUAGGUCAGUGGUCUACCAUGGCACAGCUGGUUUCUCUGCUUCGGGUGUCAUCGGGCCAAAAUGAAGGUGUUGGCCAGCUGGGCUCUCAUCUGAAGGUUCUGGGAAAGAACGAACUCUAAUCUUGUUCAGGUUAUUGGCAGAAUUCAGAACUUGCAGUUGUAGAACUGAGGUCCUCAUUUCCUUGCUGGCCAUCACCCAAGGGCUAUUCUCAGCUUCUGGAGGCCACAAGCAUUCCUUGGCACAUUGUUUCUACUCUCUCUAAACACAGGGAUGGCAUGUCAAAUUGUCUCAUGUUUUGAAUCUCUGAAUUCCUUUUCUGCUGACAGAGAAAAAGCAGCUUUUAGCAGCCUGGCCUGAUUAGCUCAAGCCCACUCAUGUAGUUUCCACAUCUUAAGAGAGAUAUAUGAUUGGCUUAAAUCCCUUCUCAGCAGUACCUGGAGUAGUG